GGAGAGGUGGCCGAGUGGCUGAAGGCGCACGCCUGGAAAGUGUGUAUACGUUAACGCGUAUCGAGGGUUCGAAUCCCUCUCUCUCCGCCA
rnacentral:tRNA from 1 species